UGAACUUGUUGAGAUUGAAAAGGAUGUUAAACACAUUCCCCGAAAGCUUGCAGCCCUUCAAGUCGCGUAGGGUAAAGUAGCUCUCGUUCUCCGGCGAAACCAUAUCGAUCAUCUGGCAAAGAAUAUCUUCAAAGAGAACAGGUUCCUGUGCCAUGCAUUCCAUACGAUGCAGUUGCUCCUCGUAAAAGAAUUGCAUUUCACUCAUUGUGAGGACUCCAUUUCCAUCCAAAUCAAUACACUUGAACCAAUACUCAAGGCUAGGUUCCGAUGAUUUAUCCUCCUCAG
rnacentral:misc_RNA from 1 species